rnacentral:rRNA from 2 species
ACCUGAUUGAUUUGGUCGCCAACGAGUGGCGGACGGGUGAGUAACACGUAGGUAACCUGCCCAGAAGCGGGGGACAACAUUUGGAAACAGAUGCUAAUACCGCAUAACAACGUUGUUCGCAUGAACAACGCUUAAAAGAUGGCUUCUCGCUAUCACUUCUGGAUGGACUGCGGUGCAUUAGCUUGUUGGUGGGGUAAUGGCCUACCAAGGCGAUGAUGCAUAGCCGAGUUGAGAGACUGAUCGGCCACAAUGGGACUGAGACACGGCCCAUACUCCUACGGGAGGCAGCAGUAGGGAAUCUUCCACAAUGGGCGCAAGCCUGAUGGAGCAACACCGCGUGAGUGAAGAAGGGUUUCGGCUCGUAAAGCUCUGUUGUUAAAGAAGAACACGUAUGAGAGUAACUGUUCAUACGUUGACGGUAUUUAACCAGAAAGUCACGGCUAACUACGUGCCAGCAGCCGCGGUAAUACGUAGGUGGCAAGCGUUAUCCGGAUUUAUUGGGCGUAAAGAGAGUGCAGGCGGUUUUCUAAGUCUGAUGUGAAAGCCUUCGGCUUAACCGGAGAAGUGCAUCGGAAACUGGAUAACUUGAGUGCAGAAGAGGGUAGUGGAACUCCAUGUGUAGCGGUGGAAUGCGUAGAUAUAUGGAAGAACACCAGUGGCGAAGGCGGCUACCUGGUCUGCAACUGACGCUGAGACUCGAAAGCAUGGGUAGCGAACAGGAUUAGAUACCCUGGUAGUCCAUGCCGUAAACGAUGAGUGCUAGGUGUUGGAGGGUUUCCGCCCUUCAGUGCCGGAGCUAACGCAUUAAGCACUCCGCCUGGGGAGUACGACCGCAAGGUUGAAACUCAAAGGAAUUGACGGGGGCCCGCACAAGCGGUGGAGCAUGUGGUUUAAUUCGAAGCUACGCGAAGAACCUUACCAGGUCUUGACAUCUUGCGCCAACCCUAGAGAUAGGGCGUUUCCUUCGGGAACGCAAUGACAGGUGGUGCAUGGUCGUCGU